GACGAACGCUGGCGGCGUGCUUAACACAUGCAAGUCGAACGGAAAGGCCCUGCUUUUGUGGGGUGCUCGAGUGGCGAACGGGUGAGUAACACGCGAGUAACCUGCCCUUGACUUUGGGAUAACUUCAGGAAACUGGGGCUAAUACCGGAUAGGAGCUCCUGCUGCAUGGUGGGGGUUGGAAAGUUUCGGCGGUUGGGGAUGGACUCGCGGCUUAUCAGCUUGUUGGUGGGGUAGUGGCUUACCAAGGCUUUGACGGGUAGCCGGCCUGAGAGGGUGACCGGCCACAUUGGGACUGAGAUACGGCCCAGACUCCUACGGGAGGCAGCAGUGGGGAAUAUUGCACAAUGGGCGGAAGCCUGAUGCAGCAACGCCGCGUGCGGGAUGACGGCCUUCGGGUUGUAAACCGCUUUCGCCUGUGACGAAGCGUGAGUGACGGUAAUGGGUAAAGAAGCACCGGCUAACUACGCGCCAGCAGCCGCGGUGAUACGUAGGGUGCGAGCGUUGUCCGGAUUUAUUGGGCGUAAAGGGCUCGUAGGUGGUUGAUCGCGUCGGAAGUGUAAUCUUGGGGCUUAACCCUGAGCGUGCUUUCGAUACGGGUUGACUUGAGGAAGGUAGGGGAGAAUGGAAUUCCUGGUGGAGCGGUGGAAUGCGCAGAUAUCAGGAGGAACACCAGUGGCGAAGGCGGUUCUCUGGGCCUUUCCUGACGCUGAGGAGCGAAAGCGUGGGGAGCGAACAGGCUUAGAUACCCUGGUAGUCCACGCUGUAAACGGUGGGUACUAGGUGUGGGGUCCAUUCCACGGGUUCCGUGCCGUAGCUAACGCUUUAAGUACCCCGCCUGGGGAGUACGGCCGCAAGGCUAAAACUCAAAGGAAUUGACGGGGCCCCGCACAAGCGGCGGAGCAUGCGGAUUAAUUCGAUGCAACGCGUAGAACCUUACCUGGGUUUGACAUGGAUCGGGAGUGCUUAGAGAUGGGUGUGCCUCUUUUGGGGUCGGUUCACAGGUGGUGCAUGGCUGUCGUCAGCUCGUGUCGUGAGAUGUUGGGUUAAGUCCCGCAACGAGCGCAACCCUUGUUCACUGCUGCCAGCACGUUAUGGUGGGGACUCAGUGGAGACCGCCGGGGUCAACUCGGAGGAAGGUGGGGAUGACGUCAAGUCAUCAUGCCCCUUAUGUCCAGGGCUUCACGCAUGCUACAAUGGCUGGUACAGAGAGUGGCGAGCCUGUGAGGGUGAGCGAAUCUCGGAAAGCCGGUCUCAGUUCGGAUUGGGGUCUGCAACUCGACCUCAUGAAGUCGGAGUCGCUAGUAAUCGCAGAUCAGCAACGCUGCGGUGAAUACGUUCCCGGGGCUUGUACACACCGCCCGUCAAGUCAUGAAAGUUGGUAACACCCGAAGCCGGUGGUCUAACCGUUGUGGGGGAGCCGUCGAAGGUGGGACUGGUGAUUAGGACUAAGUCGUAACAAGGUAGCCGUACCGGAAGG
rnacentral:rRNA from 1 species